rnacentral:rRNA from 1 species
AUGUGGCCAGUUUCUGAGAAACCUAGGCCUCAAGCUCCAGCAUAUGCAACCAUACCAGGCAGGCCUAAGAAUAAUGAUAGAAGGAGAGAAGAAAGUGAGAAACCUAAGCCUAGCAAAAAAAUGACCAAGCAUGGCACUGUAAUUAUUUGCUCAAUGUGUGGCACUGCUGGACACAACAAAACAGGUUGCAAGCAAAACCCAUACAGAGGCAAAAAGAAGAAGACUACCAAAAAAAGGGACACAGCAAAGGUGAGUUUUAUUUUUUCCAUGCAUUUCUCUGGAUUUAAAUGA